CGCGUGACGUCACUCUCUGAUUGGUCUGUGCCAGUUUGCGCUUCCGCCAUUAAUGUCGGCUGGUUCAGCUGGUUGUCAUUCUAACCUAUCAGUGGUUCUGCCCUUUGAAGGACAAGAAAACGAAUAAUUUUAUAGUUGUAAAGUUAGCAAUAUGAGUCGUUUCUUUGCAACUGGUUCAGACUCUGAGUCUGAUAGCGCUUCUGAGGAGGAGCAGAUUCAGAGGGCACCGGCUACAGCCUUCACAUUCAGCGAUGAAGAAGAAGAAACUAAGCGGGUGGUACGCUCGACAAAAGAGAAAAGAUACGAGGAGAUCGCUAAUUUGAUCAAACUAAUAAGAAAUUAUAAGAAGAUUAAAGAUAUGAGUAGCAUGCUUUCCAGUUUCGAGGAUUUGACGCGUGCCUAUCAGAAGGCAUUGCCGGUGAUUACAAAAGAAGAAAGUGGCCAGACGCCACGUUUCUACGUCCGAUGUUUGGUAGAGAUGGAGGACUUUAUCAACGAAGUGUGGGAGGAUCGCGAGGGACGUAAGAACAUGUCGAAGAACAACUCGAAGUCGUUGACUUCGUUACGGCAAAAACUUCGUAAACAUAACAAAGACUUCGAAGAAGAUAUAGCCAAGUUCAGAGAAAAUCCAGAUCAAGACGACGACGAAGAGGAAGACAAACCAGAAGAAGUGAUAGAAUCCGAGGAAGAGGACGACGGCAUAGUAAGCGGUUUCAAGAAAUCUGCUUCCGAAGCGAGCGAAUUGGAUGUAUCUAAAUUCAAGAAGGGUGCGACGGAUGGCGAAGAUGGCAGCGAAAGCGAGUCCGAUUGGGGCAGCUCCUCGGAUAGCGAAAGUACAAGCAGCGAGGACGAGGGCCAAUAUCAAAACAUACGAGAACGAUUCAUCAAGAAUAAGAUGGCUGACAAAGAAGAAGACGAGGAUAAGGCGAAACGGAAGGAACAACGAAAGGAGCGCAAAGAAAAGGAACGAAAGAAGAAGAAGGACGAAGACGACGGAGAAGGCGAAUGGGAGACCGUUAAAGGCGGCGUGGCUAUUCCAUCCGAGAAGCCCAAAAUGUUCGCGAAGGACGCCGAAAUUAACGUGGCUGCCGUGCUGAAGAAGCUCUCCGAAAUCAUCGCGGCUCGUGGCAAAAAGCGUACAGACAGACGCGAGCAGAUCGAGCUGCUGCACGAAUUGCAAUGCAUAGCGGACACUCACAAUCUUGGUCCAGCUGUGGCAGUGAAGAUCAAGUUCUCCAUCGUCUCCUCCAUCUUCGAUUACAAUCCUAAAGUCUCGGACGCGAUGAAGCCCGAGUAUUGGUCGAAGAUUCUGGAACGUAUAACAGAGAUGCUGGACAUGCUGUUGGAGACCAAGAACAUGAUAAUCUCGGAGGUGAUCAACGAGGAGGGAGAGGAAUUCGAGAAUCCACCGUACAAGAUACACGGAUGCGUGUUGACGUUGGUGGAACGAUUAGACGAGGAGUUCACCAAGUUGUUAAAGGAGUGCGAUCCGCACAGCAACGAGUACGUCGAAAGAUUGAAAGACGAGAAGCAAGUGUCCGAAAUAAUAGACAAAGUCCAAGUGUAUCUGGAAAGGCAACGCAACGUAUCCGAACUCUGUCGCGUGUAUCUACGCAAAAUCGAGCAUCUGUAUUACAAAUUCGAUCCGAACGUUCUCAAGCAAAAGGAUAAAGAAAUCGGUCCCGAAGUCGUGACGUCCGUUCAAGUUAUGGAGAAGCUUUGUAAAUACGUUUACGCUCACGAUGGAACGGACAGGCUCAGAACUCGCGCUAUUCUCUCCCAUAUUUAUCACCACGCUCUUCACGACAAUUGGUUCCAGGCGCGCGACCUUAUCCUGAUGUCCCAUCUGCAGGAGACUAUUCAGCACUCCGACCCGGCCACGCAAAUCUUGUACAACAGAACGAUCGCGCACCUGGGCUUGUGCGCGUUCCGACACGCGAACAUCAAAGACGCGCACAACUGUUUGGUUGAUUUGAUGGUAACAGGAAAGGUGAAGGAGCUUCUAGCGCAGGGUCUUCUUCCUCAGAGGCAACACGAGCGCAGCAAGGAGCAGGAGAAGAUAGAGAAGCAGAGGCAGAUGCCUUUCCACAUGCACAUCAACUUGGAGCUCCUCGAAUGCGUCUACUUGGUUUCCGCUAUGCUCAUCGAAAUCCCGUACAUGGCUGCGCACGAGUUCGACGCGAGAAGAAGAAUGAUCUCAAAGACUUUCUACCAACAGUUAAGGUCGAGCGAACGACAGUCGCUGGUAGGUCCUCCCGAGUCCAUGAGAGAGCACGUCGUAGCCGCGGCGAAGGCGAUGCGCAAUGGAAACUGGUCGGCGUGCAACAAUUUCAUCAUCAACGAGAAAAUGAACGCCAAAGUUUGGGAUCUCUUCUACCAAGCGGACAAAGUACGCGACAUGCUCACGAGAUUGAUCAAGGAGGAAGCGCUGAGGACGUAUCUGUUCACGUACUCGCACGUCUACGAUUCUAUCUCUAUGCCCAAGCUAGCGGAGAUGUUUCAACUGAAGCGACCCAUCGUCCACUCCAUCAUCAGCAAAAUGAUCAUCAACGAGGAGCUCAUGGCGUCCUUGGACGACCCAACGGAGACCGUCGUGAUGCAUCGCAGCGAGCCAAGCCGUCUCCAGUCGCUGGCGUUACAGCUUACGGAUAAAGUGAACAAUUUCGUUGACUCUAACGAACGCAUCUUUGAAAUGAAGCAAGGAAACUUCUUCUCGAGAGGAAACCAAGGAAACUUCCGCGACCGGCAGAAUUACAACAGACAGGGACAAGAUUGGGGCCGUCAAAGACGCGAUCGCGAUCGCGAUCGCGACCGUAACCGAGAGGAGAAUCGAAAUUAUUAAAUCAGAUAAUAUCGGACAUUAUUUACUUGGGUGUUUGACGAACUGGAUCGUUGUAUCGUGUACGCACUCAUUGGUUACGCUGUCGGACGCGAGAACAAGUCGAAUACCGGUCGACUUUUCUAUAAAUCUGCAAGCAGCUAUUUCGGCAUUGGUGAUACCUCCUACGAUACAUAUCACCACCAUCUUCGGCAGCAACGAACCGCGUUGACCAUUCACGACGCAGUUCGAUAAAUUUCCCAGUUCUUCGAGACUCCUAGGGUCCUUCUCUUGACUUACAACGAUGUUUAAUAAUUGAGCCUGUAGAGAUGUAAACUGCGCG